AGGCUUAUGGCUCAGCGGACAGAGCACCAGAUUCCGGUUCUGGGUGUCGAGGGUUCGACUCCCUCUUAGCCUU
rnacentral:tRNA from 1 species